GAUGAACGCUGGCGGCGUGCCUAAUACAUGCAAGUCGAGCGAACAGACGAGGAGCUUGCUCCUCUGACGUUAGCGGCGGACGGGUGAGUAACACGUGGAUAACCUACCUAUAAGACUGGGAUAACUUCGGGAAACCGGAGCUAAUACCGGAUAAUAUAUUGAACCGCAUGGUUUAAUAGUGAAAGACGGUUUUGCUGUCACUUAUAGAUGGAUCCGCGCCGCUUUAGCUAGUUGGUAAGGUAACGGCUUACCAAGGCAACGAUGCGUAGCCGACGUGAUAGAGUGAUCGGCGACACUGGAACUGGGACACGGUCCAGACUCCUACGGGAGGCAGCAGUAGGGAAUGUUCCGCAGUGGGCGAAAGCUUGGCGGAGCGACGCCGCGUGAGUGAUGAAGGUCUUGGGAUCGUAAAACUCUGUUAUUAGGGGAGAACAAAUGUGUAAGUAACUAUGCACGUCUUGACGGUACCUAAUCAGAAAGCCACGGCUAACUACGUG
rnacentral:rRNA from 1 species